CUUGUUUUACAAAACCAGCAAACAUUUUAUAAUUAUACUUUUUCCCUCACAAACUCAUUAAACCCACUGAAAUUCACUCAAAAACAAUGGUUAAGCUUCUUGUUUUCUUGAAAAACCAUGGAUGCUCAAGGUUUGGUGAAUUUUUAAUUUCUGAAAUUCAUCUUGUGAGAUAGCAAUUCCUCUAUAAAUAGGGAGAUUGAGUUUGAAAUUUUCCUCACAAAUCAACAACAAUUCAUAAAAUUAAAUCAACUAAAAGAAAGUGAAAACGGAAUUUCAAUUCCUCUGUUCUUCUGUUUCGGCCACCACCAGCACCCACCGUCGCCCCUCCUCUCUCGCUGCAUCUUCGUCUCCUUCGACCCCCCCCUGCACACUCGUCUCUCUCUCUCUCCUCCGUGACACCGCCGCACCACCGCGCACCACCCCCUUACCUUUCCGCCUGUCACUGUUGCCUCGCCUUUCUGUCGCCCUUCGCCGCCGUACACCGACGCCCCUCGCCGGACCUCCUGCCGCGACGCCAAACCCCCAUUUCUCCCCCUGCGUGUGUGUUCUGUUUUAGAACUCGUUCCUCGGAGCUCAGUAAGGACGAUAUCAAGGACGUAAGAAGAGGAUUAUUAUUAUUAUUAUUCUGCAAUCAAGGUACUGCUGGGGACGAUGGUACUGCGUAGUGGCAAGGAUUACCACCUUAUUAAAUCAUCUAGUAAUAGUGCUACUAACUUGUAAGGUUAACUUAACUAGAAUGUAAGACCAUAUACUUUAAUAUAAAUUAUCAUUGUCAUGUCAUGUAACGUUAACGUUGUUUACUUUAUUAUAUCAUAAGAUGUUUAAGUUAUCACUAUUA